CAGGGGCGCUCUUUCCUUUUCAUACCUCUAGGUUCCCUUUCUGCAUUGCAGGGGCGCUCUUUGCUUUUCAUACCUCUAUGUUCCAUUUCUGCAUUGCAGGAGCGCUCUUUACUUUUCAUACCUCUAUGUUCCUUUCUGCAUUGCAGGGGCGCUCUUUACUUUUCAUACCUCUAGGUUCCCUUUCUGCAUUGCAGGGGUGCUCUUGCCUUUUCAUACCUCUAGGUUCCCUUUCUGCAUUGCAGGGGCGCUCUUGCCUUUUCAUACCUCUAUGUUCUAAUUCUGCAUUGCAGGGGCACUCUUUCCUUUUCAUACCUCUAUGUUCCAAUUCUGCAUUGCAGGGGCACUCUUUCCUUUUCAUACCUCUAUGUUCCAAUUCUGCAUUGCAGGGGCGCUCUUUCCUUUUCAUACCUCUAUGUUCCAUUUCUGCAUUGCAGGGGCGCUCUUUGCUUUUCAUACCUCUAUGUUCCAAUUCUGCAUUGCAGGGGCACUCUUGCCUUUUCAUACCUCUAUGUUCUAAUUCUGCAUUGCAGGGGCGCUCUUUGCUUUUCAUACCUCUAUGUUCUAUUUCCGCAUUGCAGGGGCACUCUUGCCUUUUCAUACCUCUAUGUUCCAAUUCUGCAUUGCAGGGGCACUCUUUCCUUUUCAUACCUCUAUGUUCCCUUUCUGCAUUGCAGGGGCGCUCUUUCCUUUUCAUACCUCUAUGUUCCAAUUCUGCAUUGCAGGGGCACUCUUUCCUUUUCAUACCUCUAUGUUCCAAUUCUGCAUUGCAGGGGCGCUCUUGCCUUUUCAUACCUCUAUGUUCUAAUUCUGCAUUGCAGGGGCACUCUUGCCUUUUCAUACCUCUAUGUUCUAAUUCUGCAUUGCAGGGGCACUCUUUGCUUUUCAUACCUCUAUGUUCCAAUUCUGCAUUGCAGGGGCACUCUUUCCUUUUCAUACCUCUAGGUUCCCUUUCUGCAUUGCAGGGGCGCUCUUUCCUUUUCAUACCUCUAUGUUCCAUUUCUGCAUUGCAGGGGCGCUCUUUGCUUUUCAUACCUCUAUGUUCCAAUUCUGCAUUGCAGGGGCACUCUUGCCUUUUCAUACCUCUAUGUUCUAAUUCUGCAUUGCAGGGGCGCUCUUUGCUUUUCAUACCUCUAUGUUCCAAUUCUGCAUUGCAGGGGCACUCUUUGCUUUUCAUACCUCUAUGUUCCAAUUCUGCAUUGCAGGGGCGCUCUUUGCUUUUCAUACCUCUAUGUUCUAAUUCUGCAUUGCAGGGGCACUCUUUGCUUUUCAUACCUCUAUGUUCCAAUUCUGCAUUGCAGGGGCACUCUUUCCUUUUCAUACCUCUAGGUUCCCUUUCUGCAUUGCAGGGGCGCUCUUUCCUUUUCAUACCUCUAUGUUCCAAUUCUGCAUUGCAGGGGCACUCUUUCCUUUUCAUACCUCUAUGUUCCAAUUCUGCAUUGCAGGGGCACUCUUGUCUUUUCAUACCUCUAUGUUCCAAUUCUGCAUUGCAGGGGCACUCUUUCCUUUUCAUACCUCUAUGUUCUAAUUCUGCAUUGAAGGGGCACUCUUUCCUUUUCAUACCUCUAUGUUCCAAUUCUGCAUUGCAGGAGCGCUCUUUACUUUUCAUACCUCUAUGUUCCAAUUCUGCAUUGCAGGGGCACUCUUUCCUUUUCAUACCUCUAUGUUCUAAUUCUGCAUUGAAGGGGCACUCUUUCCUUUUCAUACCUCUAUGUUCCAAUUCUGCAUUGCAGGGGCACUCUUUCCUUUUCAUACCUCUAUGUUCUAAUUCUGCAUUGCAGGGGCACUCUUUCCUUUUCAUACCUCUAUGUUCUAAUUCUGCAUUGAAGGGGCACUCUUUCCUUUUCAUACCUCUAUGUUCUAAUUCUGCAUUGCAGGGGCACUCUUUCCUUUUCAUACCUCUAUGUUCUAAUUCUGCAUUGAAGGGGCACUCUUUCCUUUGCAUACCUCUAUGUUCCAAUUCUGCAUUGCAGGGGCACUCUUUCCUUUUCAUACCUCUAUGUUCCAAUUCUGCAUUGCAGGGGCGCUCUUUCCUUUUCAUACCUCUAUGUUCCAAUUCUGCAUUGCAGGGGCGCUCUUUCCUUUUCAUACUUCUAUGUUCCAAUUCUGCAUUGCAGAGGCGCUCUUUCCUUUUCAUACCUCUAUGUUCCAAUUCUGCAUUGAAAGGGCACUCUUUCCUUUUCAUACCUCUAUGUUCCAAUUCUGCAUUGCAGGGGCGCUCUUUCCUUUUCAUACCUCUAUGUUCCAAUUCUGCAUUGCAGAGGCGCUCUUUCCUUUUCAUACCUCUAUGUUCCAAUUCUGCAUUGAAAGGGCACUCUUUCCUUUUCAUACCUCUAUGUUCCAAUUCUGCAUUGCAGGGGCGCUCUUUCCUUUUCAUACCUCUAUGUUCCAAUUCUGCAUUGCAGGGGCGCUCUUUCCUUUUCAUACUUCUAUGUUCCAAUUCUGCAUUGCAGAGGCGCUCUUUCCUUUUCAUACUUCUAGGUUCCAAUUCUGCAUUGCAGGGGCGCUCUUUCCUUUUCAUACCUCUAUGUUCCAAUUCUGCAUUGCAGGGGCGCUCUUUACUUUUCAUACUUCUAUGUUGAUUUUCUGCAUUGCAGGGGCGCUCUUUACUUUUCAUACUUCUAUGUUGCUUUUCCGCAUUGCAGGGGCGCUCUUUCCUUUUCAUACCUCUAUGUUCAAUUUCCGCAUUGCAGGGGCGCUCUUUCCUUUUCAUACCUCUAUGUGCCAUUUCCGCAUUGCAGGGGCGCUCUUUCCUUUUCAUACCUCUAUGUGCCAUUUCCGCAUUGCAGGGGCGCUCUUUCCUUUUCAUACCUCUAUGUUCCAAUUCUGCAUUGAAAGGGCACUCUUUCCUUUUCAUACCUCUAUGUUCCAAUUCUGCAUUGCAGGGGCACUCUUUCCUUUUCAUACCUCUAUGUUCCAAUUCUGCAUUGCAGGGGCACUCUUGUCUUUUCAUACCUCUAUGUUCCAAUUCUGCAUUGCAGGGGCACUCUUUCCUUUUCAUACCUCUAUGUUCUAAUUCUGCAUUGAAGGGGCACUCUUUCCUUUUCAUACCUCUAUGUUCCAAUUCUGCAUUGCAGGAGCGCUCUUUACUUUUCAUACCUCUAUGUUCCAAUUCUGCAUUGCAGGGGCACUCUUUCCUUUUCAUACCUCUAUGUUCUAAUUCUGCAUUGAAGGGGCACUCUUUCCUUUUCAUACCUCUAUGUUCCAAUUCUGCAUUGCAGGGGCACUCUUUCCUUUUCAUACCUCUAUGUUCUAAUUCUGCAUUGCAGGGGCACUCUUUCCUUUUCAUACCUCUAUGUUCUAAUUCUGCAUUGAAGGGGCACUCUUUCCUUUUCAUACCUCUAUGUUCUAAUUCUGCAUUGCAGGGGCACUCUUUCCUUUUCAUACCUCUAUGUUCUAAUUCUGCAUUGAAGGGGCACUCUUUCCUUUGCAUACCUCUAUGUUCCAAUUCUGCAUUGCAGGGGCACUCUUUCCUUUUCAUACCUCUAUGUUCCAAUUCUGCAUUGCAGGAGCGCUCUUUCCUUUUCAUACCUCUAUGUUCCAAUUCUGCAUUGCAGGGGCACUCUUGUCUUUUCAUACCUCUAUGUUCUAAUUCUGCAUUGAAGGGGCACUCUUUCCUUUGCAUACCUCUAUGUUCCAAUUCUGCAUUGAAGGGGCACUCUUUCCUUUGCAUACCUCUAUGUUCCAAUUCUGCAUUGCAGGGGCACUCUUUCCUUUUCAUACCUCUAUGUUCCAAUUCUGCAUUGCAGGAGCGCUCUUUACUUUUCAUACCUCUAUGUUCCAAUUCUGCAUUGCAGGGGCACUCUUUCCUUUUCAUACCUCUAUGUUCUAAUUCUGCAUUGAAGGGGCACUCUUUCCUUUUCAUACCUCUAUGUUCCAAUUCUGCAUUGCAGGGGCACUCUUUCCUUUUCAUACCUCUAUGUUCUAAUUCUGCAUUGCAGGGGCACUCUUUCCUUUUCAUACCUCUAUGUUCUAAUUCUGCAUUGAAGGGGCACUCUUUCCUUUGCAUACCUCUAUGUUCCAAUUCUGCAUUGCAGGAGCGCUCUUUACUUUUCAUACCUCUAGGUUCCCUUUUUGCAUUGCAGGGGCGCUCUUUCCUUUUCAUACCUCUAUGUUCCUCCUAAUCCCGCCCUUUCCCCCCUCCGCCUCCGUUCUCUUCUCCCAUUGGUUGUUGCUUGGGAGGUCCCGCCCCUUUCCCCUUCCUUCGCUCCCUCAUUGGUCGAAGCGCGUCCUGGCAGAUAUGUAGUGCGGGGGCGUUUCCCAUCGUAGCCGCAAUAAUACAAAAUAAAUAAUAAUAUAAUAUCGGAGAUAUAUAGUCUUCGAGCUUAUUAAUAAUCGUUACGUAUGAUUAUGUUGUUUGAAUAUGAGGUGUAUGGAGGUGUCAGGAUUGGCGACGGAAGGGACGGGUUGUGUGAUGGACCUGCCGGGACUUGGGGGCGGGGCAAGGGGCGUGGCCUGGCGCGUGAGAGCCGGGGAAGGGAACAGCCAAGAUGGCGGCCGGGCUGAGGCGAGCGAAGCGCCGCUGAGGAGAACCAGUGGCCCAUGUACAUGCUGGACUACGGCGGCCUCAACGUUCCGGUUCCGGGAGCCAUAAAUUAUUCGGACCUCAGUUUCUGAACCAGAACCUCCGAACAAAACAAAACAAAAAAAUAAUGAACGGCGUGUAAUUUUCGUUUGUACAAAGUGUAUAUUAUUCCAAUAUGUAUUGAUGCCUUUUAGUUUUUCCAAUGAUUUUUACACUAUAUUCCUGCUGCCAGGGCCUUUUUAAAUAAAAAAAGAAUAAGAAGGGUUGCCUUGCUCUGAAAAAUCAAA